rnacentral:rRNA from 1 species
GUGGGGAAUAUUGGGCAAUGGGGGCAACCCUGACCCAGCGACGCCGCGUGAGGGAAGAAGGCCUUAGGGUCGUAAACCUCUGUUGUGUGGGAAGAAGGAAGUGACGGUACCACACGAGGAAGUCCCGGCUAACUACGUGCCAGCAGCCGCGGUAAUACGUAGGGGACGAGCGUUGUCCGGAAUUACUGGGCGUAAAGGGCGCGUAGUCGUUCAUUUAAGUCAGCUGUGAAAUGGUCCGGCCCAACCGGAUCAUGCGGUUGAAACUGGAUGACUGGAGUGCUGGAGAGGCAAGUGGCAUGCCCAGUGUAGCGGUCAAAUGCGUAGAUAUUGGGAAGAACACCGGUGGCGAAGGCGACUUGCUGGCCAGCAACUGACGCUGAGGCGCGAAAGCCAGGGGAGCAAACGGGAUUAGAAACCCUGGUAGUCC